rnacentral:rRNA from 1 species
UACGUAGGGUGCAAGCGUUAAUCGGAAUUAUUGGGCGUAAAGAGCGUGUAGGCGGCCCGAUUAGUCCGCUGUGAAAGUCCAGGGCUCAACCCUGGAAUGCCGGUGGAUACUGUCGGGCUAGAGUCCGGAAGGGGCGAGUGGAAUUCCUGGUGUAGCGGUGAAAUGCGCAGAUAUCAGGAGGAACACCAAUGGCGAAGGCAGCUCGCUGGGACGUGACUGACGCUGAGACGCGAAAGCGUGGGGAGCAAACAGG